GAGCAGUCACACAACAUAAAACUCCCUGACAGUUAAUCAUACAUUACCUAGUUCUUGUUGGCCUUCUGCCAUGCCUCUUUUUUUCUUCACUGGGUUAUUUUAGGACUACAGGAACCUAUGUUUCCCUCUAAUUAGAUCUCUGUAGCCAGGUGCUCUGGAAGUCCUUGGACAUCAAAAGAUGGAAGAGUGGAGGAAACACAGUUGGGGAGCUUCUGACAGACAGACUACAUAUUGAUGCUGAAAAGACAACAAUCAUGUGAACAUCUAGGACACAGAAUAGCAGCCAGAGAAUGGCAGAGGGAAAAAAUAUCCUCUAAUAUUAAUUUUAUUCUAUGGAUUCUAUCUAGAGUAGUUGUUACGAAUCUAAAGCUUAGAUUCAGAGAAACAGAGCCCACUGCACACUGGGAACCAGCAGUGAGAAACAUCAGUGAAAAGCAAACAGUGGUUGGAGGGACAUGAAAGAGAUUUACAAAUAUUCAGAUGAACUUGAAUGUCACAGAGAGAGCAACAAGAAUUAUUCCAGAAUAUGAGCAGAUUCGCUUCACCAGAUCUUUUGGACUCCUGCACGAUCUUGAGUAUGCUCACUCCUACUGCAGCUCAAUUGUUGCAAACAAACAUCACCAAAAUAUUUUGAGGGAAGUAUGCAGAUGUUUUGCAAGGAGCAUGAUAUACUGUCCAUGGGGGAAACAACCUCAAGGUUUUGUCUGGAACCCUAAUGGUUUGGCUAAAACACUUCUUCUGGGAGAGAAUCCAGGACUCAUGGAAGAUUGAGCAUACAGCUGAGACUCAAUUUCCUGACUGCCUCCUCAGAACAAAGCAACAAAUGGAAAAGUUUAUUCCAAACAGUGAGGCUACCUCCUCUUUGGAUUACCUCUCCUCUUUGGAUUCCUCUGCAACUCUACAGCAGUAUCUUAAGAACCAAAAUUCUGGAAUCAGUGCUUCUGGUACCCCAACCAUGCUAAACCCUCUUCAUUCAUCUGGUUCUCACAGUCAUAAAAAACUCUGUGUCUUUCCUAUAUCAGCCUCUUGAAACAAAUAAAAGCGAACCAAAGUAAAACCA
rnacentral:lncRNA from 1 species